UACGGAGGGUGCGAGCGUUGUCCGGAAUCAUUGGGCGUAAAGGGCGCGUAGGUGGCCCGGUCAGUCUUUGGUGAAAGCGCGGGGCUCAACCCUGCGUCGGCCAGGGAUACUGCCGCGGCUCGAGCACUGUAGAGGCAGGCGGAAUUCCGGGUGUAGCUGUGGAAUGCGUAGAGAUCCGGAAGAACACCGGUGGCGAAGGCGGCCUGCUGGGCAGUUUAGCUGACACUGAGGCGCGACAGCGUGGGGAGCAAACAGG
rnacentral:rRNA from 1 species